CUCUGUAAAUAUUAAUUAAUAUUAGAUAUGAAUGAAUGAAUGAAUGAAGAGCAGCAGCAGAAGUAGUGAGAUAUAGAGGAGACAGGUGGCACAUAUGUCUCACUCCCUGGAUGCUAGCAGCACACGUGACUCUGACCAUGGGGAAUUAUGAAUGUCUCAUUGGGUGGAGAUAGAAUUAGAUCAUCAUCUCUAGACCAGUAAUUUUGUGAAACUUCAGGGAGAUGAAGGAAAAGCAUGAAAAUAAAUGUCUAAGGAUUUGACAUAAGGUAUGGCUCUGAGCUAUUGCCACAAAUUGAACAAAACGAAGUCUAAAAUGAAACAUAAAGUUUUCAGUUGUGGAGGAGCUCAUGGUCAUGGUAGAAAAGGAGCUGUCUGUCACGAGCUUUCUUAGUUUAUGGUGGUCUUUGGUGCCAGGAGGGAUUUUUGAAGAACUUUAUUAGAGUAUAAAACCCCAUGAAGCUGUUUGUAGAACAAACCCGUCACGGCUGAAGGCCAGUGGUAGAGAGAGGCAGGUAGUGUGGACGAGGAUGAGGCUUGUGCCCUUCCUGAAUGCUCUAGGUGGAAAUCCUUCCUUGUCUCUCACUAGCUUCUAUUGGUUGCUGGUGAUCCUUGGCAUUCCUGGGCUUGUAGAUGGAUCAUUCCAGUCUCUGCCUCUGCUGUCACGUGGCCUUCUCCUUGUGUGUCAUCUGAACUCCCCACUUCCAGUAAGGACACCAGCUACUGGAUCAGGGCCCCACCUCAUCCAGGAUGUCCCUUUCUUUCCUUGAUUAUAUCUGCAAAGAUCUUAUUUCUAAAUCAGGCCACAUGCACAGGUUCUAGGAGUUAGGACGUGAAUAUGCCUUUUGGAGGGAGAAACAGUUACACUCACUAUCAGAACAUAUCCAAAACCACAGGCUUGGGCAUCUGAGCCCUGGAUGAAUCCAUUUUUCUUGGAAGGUCAAACCUUGCCUUCCACUCUGACUUUUGUAUAUUGAAUGUGUGGCAGGAAUAGGGACCUCCCCCCAUUAUCUCUCUUCCAUAUUCAAAAAUUGCAAGAGAAGUAAUUGGAUAUAAUUCACUGUGCUAUAUCCAUUCCCUUGUGAUAGAACAUGAUAGAAGAUAAUAGGAGAAAAAGAAUGUAUAUACAUGUAUAACUGGGUCACUUUGCUGUACAGCAGAAAUUGACACAACAUUGUAAAUCAACUAUAAUAAAUUUUUAAAAAUUGUAGGAGAGUUCGCCCUUGCAAACUUUGAAUUUGUAGGAAAAGUAAAACAUAAAUGAAAACAAAACCAAUUUCAUUUUAGAGUCUUUUCUUGGGUCUUUGCGUGGCCAAGCAAGGCUCUCAAGGGGCAGAUUUAUCUACAAUGAGAUUGUAGUUAGUAUGGGUGUUUCCCCUUGGAUGAGAAACUGCUGAUGGUGUUCCCUUUCCUUUGCCAAUGAUUGGUUCAAGACAAUUUGGACCAAUGUGAUUUAUUUGUUCUUCAUUCACAUAACAAGUAUCUCUUCCAUUUCUACUACAUGCCAGAUAACUCUAAAGUGUGGCUGAAAAUGCUCUAAGCAUAAAAUUGUGACGUCUGCGAAUUGUUGACUUUUAAAGAUCAGUAUUAACAAGAAGUCUGAAAGAUCAUGGAGGAAAAUGGAAGUCUGUCCAGAAAAUGGGAAUAUGCAGAUAACUUUCAGUGCCAAUGGCUACUCCGAAGUUGCUGAGGAUAUAGCAAGCAAAAAAGGCAAGGCAGAGAAUAAGCUUAUUUGAGGUUUUCACAGAGAAAAUCCAGGGUCCCUCUCCUAUUGGAUGUGAACAAGAUCUGUUGCUGUCCCAGAUGCUGACUGCAUGGGAACCACCCCUAAGAUAAAGCUGAUAUUUUGUUCAUCAGAGCAGAGGAAGGGAACGACCUUGCGUCUCUGAUGACAUUGCUGAGUAACUGAACUGACUGGACCUUCUAUCAGGACAUUCUUUAUUAUGAGAAAAUGCAUUAUGAAAAUAAAUGUUUAACGGGGUUUGGACUGAGUUUCCACUUCUUGCUUCUGGCACAGGCAUCAUCUCUUCUGCCUUUCUUAGUUUUGCACAGCCUGCGCGCCCUGGGAGAAUAAAGGGUUGUGGCCUCACUCUGCUUAACGAUGUUCUGUCUUUGCUGUGGGCUAUUGUGGGAGAUUUUAAUUGUGUUUUGAAACAGGAGACAUUUAGUGAAAGGAGAGCAUGUCUAUGGACAGGGAACCAAGGCUAGAAACUGAGCAUGUCAAACAUUUGUCUUUGGGGGGUGAUUUUCUGUAAAGCACACAGUUAAAAACUCCUCCCUUUUCCUAUAGUAAUCCUUUUCAGUUACCUUCAACUCAGUAAAAUCGCCACAGUCUUGAGCUGUGGGGUGGGAUCCUGGGGAGUAGAAGGAGGAGGCUGUAAGAAGUAUGAUCUGCUCACCUUCCUCACUGGCUGAUGCACGUGAGGUUAGAAGUCCAGGAGCUCAUGCCAGUCAUCAGAGGCUGAUGGUCAACAGAAGUAAGUGGUCAUUCAGCCCUGGCGACCCAUGGGGGAACAGAGCAUUGUAGAGAAGCAGCUGCUGCAUGAAACUAACUUACAAGAAGAAAUAAAACAAACCCGCCUUUCACAGAAUAUACCAGAGGGUAUUCACCUUUGAGGGUAGAGAAAUGCUGGCAUUUGUAUUGUAUGUACCAAGAAUUUAAAUAAGCAAAUGAACUAUAUUUCAUACACCUUACAUUAUUAAAGUAGGAAUGUCCCUGUUAAUUUGCAUUUACCGUCCUUUGGUCUCCAGGGAGCAUUCAGGAGCUCCCUUUCCAGCAACUGGUUUAGACUGCAUGCAACUAUGUCUUGCUUUGUGGUGCAUGCAAGAGGCAAUUCUGUGUUUUUGUGAGUGUGACUAUUUAGCCCUAUUAACAAAUAUUCAGAUCCUUUAGGCAUUUUUAUCUUGAGAAUUCUACUCUUUCUCUUUUCCUGCCAUCUAUCUAUCCCCUUUUAAGACUAUCUCAGAUCCCUCCCCAGAUCUGGAUGUGCUUUCUCUUAUCUUUUUUUUGUCUUUUUUUUUUUUUUUUUAAUUGCUUUUUGAGACCACACCUGUGGCACAUGGAGGUUCCCAGGCUAGGGGUUGAAUCAGAGCUAUAGCCACCGGCCUACGCCAGAGCCACAGCAACGCGGGAUCCGAGCCGCGUCUGCAACCUACACCACAGCUCACAGCAAUGCCGGAUCGUUAACCCACUGAGCAAGGGCAGGGACCGAACCCGCAACCUCAUGGUUCCUAGUCGGAUUCGUUAACCACUGCGCCACGCCGGGAACUCCGGAUAACAUAAUUUCAAACUCCUCAAGGCAGUAAGCUGGGACAACCAGAGGGCUCACCCCUUAACAUUUCUCACUUCUUAGGGAUCGCCAUCCUUCUCUACCUGAGGUCCAGUGCCUUAAAAAACACUGUCUUAUAUAUUUUUUUCUGUCUUUUGUUGUUGUUGAUUCUGGUAGGAGGAUACAUUUGGUUCCUGUUCCCUCACUUUGGCUCAAGGCAUAAGGUUGGGUUGGUAGAAAUGUAAUCUUAGUGAAUUUGGAGGCUUUCCCCUGAUGGAGGAUUUUGUUGAAGUCAGGACAUAGACUGGAGCCUGUCGGGUCUUCACCCACUGGUCUGGUAGGUACUGCUGACAUCCUUUGUCUCCAUGACCCCUCAGCUCUGGCAGCUCUUUGCUGCUCUAGGCUACUCUGGACAUAUUGGAGCCUUUGGUGGUCUCCUUGGCUCCUUUAGCCAUGAGACCCAGUACCAUGUAGCCACACACUCUCUCUAUCUGAUCCGUUCAUCUCUCCAGGACGUUGCAGGAGAAGAGGUACAGGUUUUCUCCCAGGAACACACUGGUUUUUUGACUCUUUCUCUCUCUCUUUCCUUAAACUUCCUUAGCCGUGGAGAAGUUGUCUUCUUAUCUUGGAUAGGAGUGGAUUUUGGAGACUUGUCUCUAAGUGAAUCCUUUAAUUCCCUCAAGGACUGGGCGUUGGGAACACAGACUCUAGCUUCUUGAGCACUUUCUGCCUGUCACAUCCUUCCCUGCAGGGAAUGUAGAGAAAGCUGAUUAUUUGCCUAAAGAUAGGAGUAGAAACAGAGAAAAUGCCGUAAUAAUUUUUUUUUUUCCCAAAGCGAUUGUGCCAGAGUAAUAAGAAAUACUUUGUUUUGUUGGGGCAUUUGCCUUUUGAACUUAUUCCAUGGUAUAGCUAUUUAAAAAGUAGCAAUGUAUUUUUUAAGGGGAGGUGCAUGGAGCAGAGGCUUGACUUAAGUUUUUUUUUUAGUAUUGCUAUAUUUGUAUGGCAAGUGUAAACUAGAUUUAGGAUGUAUAAUUACUUGGCUGUAUUUGACUGUCAUGUUCAACAUGGCACACAAAGCUGUGAUUUUUAGCAUCCUGAAUAAAGAUAUUUUCCCUUCCUAGUCUCUAGUCUUCCCGUCAACAUCCACCCAAAUUGACCUUGAUACAUUAUCGAUGUAUCCUCAAUAUUCAGUGUCUAUACACAGUUUUUAACCAAUAGAAAUUUCACAGAGAUUUAAGAUGCAUAAUUGCAUCAGUCUGAUUUCUGAUGUAUUCAGCCUGGCAUGGAUUCCAGUUUCUGUAAUCCCUCUUUCCUCUAGCCAUGGCCACAGGACCCCAAACAGCCACAUGCUGGUCCCUAGGACAGAUUCUGGCUUCAAAAUAGUAGUAAUUAUAAUUUUUGUGACUGCAUUGUGAGAUGAAUCUCUGAGUGGCAUCUAGAUUGCCCCUGGCUUUGUGCUCCAAGUUCACAAACUGGGCUUUGGCUCUGCUUCUGAGAUACAGACCUGCUCUGCAUCCUGGCUCUGGUGCGCAGUCUCGUUUCUCAACAGCAAAUGUAGGACAGCUCUUCUCCCAGGACUGGUCAUUGCCUUCUGGCAGAGACAGUGGGCCCCUGUGUCUUCAGUCCUUUCCAAGGUUAAUCAUGCACCACCCGCCUUGAUUUCUCUGUCUCCUUUUCUCAGUCCCCAGGGUUAAAGUUCUGUCUUUUUGCUGAACUCUGUGGUAGCCAGAGGCCUUUCCUAACCCCUUUCUUCUAUUAUGCACAACACUUCAGGUGAUUUUUUUUCUUAAGAAUUCCUGGAGUUCCCAUCAAGGGUCAGUGGAAGCAAAUCUGACUAGUAUCCUUGAGGAUGCAGGUUUGAUUUGUGGCCUCGCUCAGUGGGUUAAGAAUCCUGUGUUGCCGUGAGCUGUGUGGGUGGCCCUAAAAAAAAAAAAAAAAAAAAAAAA
rnacentral:lncRNA from 1 species